rnacentral:tRNA from 1 species
GUCCCGUUAGUCUAGAGGAUAUGAUACCAGACUUCGAAUCUGGGGGUCGCCGGUUCGAUCCCGGCACGGGAUA